rnacentral:rRNA from 1 species
AUUGAACGCUGGCGGCAGGCCUAACACAUGCAAGUCGAACGAGUGGCGGACGGGUGAGUAAUGUCUGGGAAACUGCCUGAUGGAGGGGGAUAAAUACUGGAAACGGUAGAUAAUAACGCAUCCCAUCGGAAGGGCCCAGAUGGGAUUAGCUAGUAGGUGGGGUAAAGGCUCACCUAGGCGCCGAGCCCUAGCCGGCCUGAGAGGAUGACCAGCCACCCGGGAACGGGGACACGGUCCAGACUCCUACGGGAGGCAGCAGUGGGGACUAUUGCACAAGGGGCGCAAUCCUGAUGCAGCCAUGCCGCUUGUAUGAAGAAGGCCUUCGGUUUGUAAAGUACUUUCAGCGGGGAGGCGUUACCCGCAGAAAAAGCACCGGCUAACUCCGUGCCAGCCGCCGCGGUAAUAC